rnacentral:rRNA from 1 species
AUUGAACGCUGGCGGCAGGCUUAACACAUGCAAGUCGAGCGGGGUGAUGGUGCUUGCACUAUCACUUAGCGGCGGACGGGUGAGUAAUGCUUAGGAAUCUGCCUAUUAGUGGGGGACAACAUCUCGAAAGGGAUGCUAAUACCGCAUACGUCCUACGGGAGAAAGCAGGGGAUCACUUGUGACCUUGCGCUAAUAGAUGAGCCUAAGUCGGAUUAGCUAGUUGGUGGGGUAAAGGCCUACCAAGGCGACGAUCUGUAGCGGGUCUGAGAGGAUGAUCCGCACACUGGACUGAGACACGGCCCAGACUCCUACGGGAGGCAGCAGUGGGGAAUAUUGGACAAUGGGGGGAACCCUGAUCCAGCCAUGCCGCGUGUGUGAAGAAGGCCUUAUGGUUGUAAAGCACUUUAAGCGAGGAGGAGGCUCUUUUGGUUAAUACCCAAGAUGAGUGGACGUUACUCGCAGAAUAAGCACCGGCUAACUCUGUGCCAGCAGCCGCAGUAA